GAUGAACGCUGGCGGCGUGCCUAAUACAUGCAAGUCGAGCGAACGGACGAGAAGCUUGCUUCUCUGAUGUUAGCGGCGGACGGGUGAGUAACACGUGGAUAACCUACCUAUAAGACUGGGAUAACUUCGGGAAACCGGAGCUAAUACCGGAUAAUAUUUUGAACCGCAUGGUUCAAAAGUGAAAGACGGUCUUGCUGUCACUUAUAGAUGGAUCCGCGCUGCAUUAGCUAGUUGGUAAGGUAACGGCUUACCAAGGCAACGAUGCAUAGCCGACCUGAUAGGGUGAUCGGCCACACUAGAACGGAGACACGGUCCAGACUCCUACGGGAGGCAGCAGUAGGGAAUCUUCCGCAAUGGGCGAAAGCCUGACGGAGCAACGCCGCGUGAGUGAUGAAGGUCUUCGGAUCGUAAAACUCUGUUAUUAGGGAAGAACAUAUGUGUAAGUAACUGUGCACAUCUUGACGGUACCUAAUCAGAAAGCCACGGCUAACUACGUG
rnacentral:rRNA from 1 species